UAGUACUCAUUACGCAACAUUUAAUAACAAAGAACCCUAAAUACUGAAGAAUAUGUUUGCCCACAGAGCAUGGGUAAAUACAUAUGCUAUUUUUGUUGUGUGAUCAAGCUAAUAAACACCAAUUAUAUUUUUCACAGCUUGUUCUGUAUUUACAUAGUGUGCCAAUUGUUGUAAAGGGUGCUGUCCUGGAUGCAAUCACACAAUCCAUUCCUUUAAAUUACACACAUCUUGCUGAUAGUAGUCUUACCACCACAGUUCCAUUUUCCUCACUUCAUUAAAAGAAAACCGGCGUCAUUAUCUAUUAACUAUGGACCAUUUGGUCUUCCAUGUUAUCGCCAGGCUAGACAUUUUUUGACCAAAUGAGGAUCCAGGGGUCAUCAGUGGUCUCCUGACCGAAGAGAGAUGCCAACAAGCAGGCACCACCAACAAAGACGUAGGACUACCAUUCAAUGCUCAGGCCCCAGUAGCUCUGAGCAUCGACUCACAUUUUACCACUGUGACUGCGGCAGAUCCCGAGCCCAAGCCCACCAAAGAUUACGCUGGAGGCCACUUGGAAGUAAGUUAGAAAGCUACCUAACAUUAAAAUAAAUGAAGUGCCUACUCACUGCAAAUCCAUGCAUCCAAGCCCAAAUUAAAUGUUUUAUGUAGGUUAUUACACAAAGAUUAGGCAAUGUUAGCAUCAACCUCUGAGCUCUGGCAUGUUAAAGUUGUAAAUAUGAUGUUAUGCUAUCUAGCUCAGUGUGUUACAGUACUGUAUUACUUGGCUAGGCUAGCCCUUUCUACUAUUGAGGCUGUGGUACAUUUACAAAAAUGUUGCCCUUUUUCAGCCAACAUUGCAUUACAUUUAGUAACUUUUUAUGUUUGGUUAAUUUGAUUUUGUAGAAAAAUAGGCGAAAUGGAGGGCGCCAUCAAAGACAUUAGAGAAUCCAUCAACAAGAUAAAAUCGAAGAUGCAUGUCAAUAAAUGGAAGCAUGCAACUGCCGCUGGAGCUGUGCAUCGGUAAGGCAAGUCGUCAGAAACCUUGGAGAGCUCCAGUGGAGAGUGGGUCCAGGUGACUGGUACUGGGUGAUAACCGAGGGAAAGGAUCCCAUGUCCAGCCAAACCAGAGUGAGAGGGAGAACUAAAGAACCACCAAGCCAACCUUCCCACAAGAGGUAUUUGUCUGUGGGAGACGAAAUUGAGACAUAGACCCAAUAUUAAUGGAUAAUUCGUUUUGAAAUGAAUGAGUUUGUCAGGAUGGUUGAAUGUUUUCAGACAAUUAUAGUUUAUGUUUACAAGUGUAAGUCUAAUGUUGAUAUUUCCUUUGCUGUUCAAAUAAAUAAAUAUCGAACCAAUGAUCACAGUCAACCGUUUUUUUCAUUCAAAGAUCACUUCAGGUGCAUGCAUAUGGUUAUUUUUUGUGGAUUGUUUUAUUAAUCUCAAUUAAUUAAAUGUUUUAUUCCCUCGUUCAAAUUAUAGUCAAUUAUUAUGUAGGCUAUGGACAAGACAUGACAUAUGCUAUUUCCUUAGCAGCAUACUCUCCAAAUAUAAUACAUUCCUUUAAUAUUAGUUAUAGGGAAACCUGAUUCUUCAAGUAGAUGACAUGAUCCGAAUCCGGUCAUAGGCUGUAAAUUUUCCUAAUGUCAUACCGUACAUGCAUUGGGUAUAUCUUAU